rnacentral:rRNA from 1 species
CCAACAGGGAUUGCCUCAGUAACGGCGAGUGAAGCGGCAACAGCUCAAAUUUGAAAUCUGAUCUCGCCGAGAUCCGAGUUGUAAUUUGCAGAGGGUGCUCCGGGCGAGGCGUGGGCCUAAGUUCCCUGGAACGGGACGUCAUAGAGGGUGAGAAUCCCGUCUGCGGCCCGCGACCGACCCCGUGUGAAGCCCCUUCGACGAGUCGAGUUGUUUGGGAAUGCAGCUCAAAAUGGGUGGUAAAUUUCAUCUAAAGCUAAAUAACAGCCGGAGACCGAUAGCGCACAAGUAGAGUGAUCGAAAGAUGAAAAGCACUUUGGAAAGAGAGUUAAACAGUACGUGAAAUUGUUGAAAGGGAAGCGCUUGCGACCAGACCUGCGUCCGGGCGAUCAGCCCCCGUUCUCCGGGGGUGCACUCGCCCGGCGGCAGGCCAGCAUCGGUUCGGGCGGCGGGAUAAACGCCGCGGGAACGUAGCUGCCUUCGGGCAGUCUUAUAGCCCGCGGCCGCAUGCCGCCCGCUCGGACCGAGGGACGCGCUUCGGCGAGGAUGCUGGCGUAAUGGUCGUAAGCGGCCCGUCUUGAAACACGGACCAAGGAGUGGAACAACUAUGCGAGUGUUUGGGCGUUAAACCCACGCGCGGAAUGAAAGUGAACGGAGGUGAGAACCCGUCCGGGCGCAUCAUCGACCGAUCCGGAAGUUUACGGAUGGAUUUGAGUAAGAGCAUAGCUGUUCCGACCCGAAAGAUGAUGAACUAUGCCUGAAUAGGGUGAAGCCAGGGGAAACCCUGGUGGAGGCUCGCAGCGGUUCUGACGUGCAAAUCGAUCGUCAAAUUUGGGCAUAGGGGCGAAAGACUAAUCGAAUCAUCUAGUAGCUGGUUCCUGUCGAAGUUUCCCUCAGGAUAGCAGUAACGUUUUCAGUUUUAUGAGGUAAAGCGAAUGAUUAGAGGCCUUAGGGGUGCAACACCCUUAACCUAUUCUCAAACUUUAAAUAUGUAAGAAGCCCUUGUUACUUUGUUGAACGUGGGCAUUCGAAUGUAUCGUUACUAGUGGGCCAUUUUUGGUAAGCAGAACUGGCGAUGCGGGAUGAACCGAACGCGAGGUUAAGGUGCCGGAGUGCACGCUCAUCAGACACCACAAAAGGUGUUAAUUCAUCCAGACAGCAGGACGGUGGCCAUGGAAGUCGGAAUCCGCUAAGGAGUGUGUAACAACUCACCUGCCGAAUGAAUUAGCCCUGAAAAUGGAUGGCGCUCAAGCGUGUCACCCAUACCUCGCCGCCAGGGUAGAUACGAUGCCCUGGCGAGUAGGCAGGCGUGGAGG